rnacentral:rRNA from 1 species
AGCGAACGCUGGCGGCAGGCCUAACACAUGCAAGUCGAACGAAGUCUUCGGACUUAGUGGCGGACGGGUGAGUAACACGUGGGAACGUGCCUUUAGGUUCGGAAUAACUCAGGGAAACUUGUGCUAAUACCGAAUGUGCCCUUCGGGGGGAAAGAUUUAUCGCCUUUAGAGCGGCCCGCGUCUGAUUAGCUAGUUGGUGAGGUAAGGGCUCACCAAGGCUACGAUCAGUAGCUGGUCUGAGAGGAUGACCAGCCACAUUGGGACUGAGACACGGCCCAAACUCCUACGGGAGGCAGCAGUGGGGAAUCUUGCGCAAUGGGCGAAAGCCUGACGCAGCCAUGCCGCGUGGAUGAUGAAGGUCUUAGGAUUGUAAAAUCCUUUCGCCGGUGAAGAUAAUGACUGUAGCCGGAGAAGAAGCCCCGGCUAACUUCGUGCCAGCCGCCGCCGUAAAAC